rnacentral:rRNA from 1 species
AACGUAGGUCCCGAGCGUUAUCCGGAUUUACUGGGCGUAAAGCGUGUUCAGGCGGUCUAGCAAGUCGGGCAUGAAAUCUCUCGGCUCAACCGGGAGGGGUUGUCCGAUACUGCUGGGCUUGAGGGCAGCAGAGGGUGGUGGAAUUCCGGGUGUAGUGGUGAAAUGCGUAGAUAUCCGGAGGAACACCAGUGGCGAAGGCGGCCACCUGGGCUGUACCUGACGCUCAAACACGAAAGCUAGGGGAGCAAACAGG